CGUCGGGCGGAUUAUGCAGGUGGGGGGAGGGCGCGAGAUAAACCAUGCCCCAUUUUUGCUCCCAGCAGCAGUAGCAGCGGCGGCGGCGGCGGCAGCGAUGACAGCCUUCCUCACGCUAACUUGAGGCAGCACCAGGUGAAGAGGAGGAGGCAGAGAGACAGAGACACCCCCCCCAUCCCCACGCAGAGACACCCCUCCGACCCCCACCUAGCCCAGCCCGCCCGGCCGGCCCGGCCCGAGCACCACCCUGGAGGCAGCCGCAGCAGCAGCCGCCGCCCCCCCGCCGCCGCCGCCGCCGCCCUCCCGCCUGCCCCGGCGCUCCGGAGGCCCGAGGGACGAGUGAGCCAGCCCGAGAGACAGAGCCAGCCAAGUCAUCAGGAACCGAAACCUGCCCACGCUGGUGCCAUCCGUCCUCACUGCCCUGCCCUCUGACACACCCUGCUCGCAGCUG
rnacentral:lncRNA from 1 species